rnacentral:rRNA from 1 species
UACGAAGGGGGCUAGCGUUGUUCGGAAUUACUGGGCGUAAAGCGCACGUAGGCGGCCUUGCAAGUUGGGGGUGAAAGCCCAGGGCUCAACCCUGGAACUGCCUCCGAAACUGCAAGGCUCGAGUCCGGGAGAGGUGAGUGGAAUUCCGAGUGUAGAGGUGAAAUUCGUAGAUAUUCGGAAGAACACCGGUGGCGAAGGCGGCUCACUGGCACGUUACUGACGCUGAGGUGCGAAAGCGUGGGGAGCAAACAGG